GAUAAACGCUGGCGGCGUGCCUAAUACAUGCAAGUCGAGCGAACGGACGAGAAGCUUGCUUCUCUGAUGUUAGCGGCGGACGGGUGAGUAACACGUGGAUAACCUACCUAUAAGACUGGGAUAACUUCGGGAAACCGGAGCUAAUACCGGAUAAUAUUUUGAACCGCAUGGUUCAAAAGUGAAAGACGGUCUUGCUGUCACUUAUAGAUGGAUCCGCGCUGCAUUAGCUAGUUGGUAAGGUAACGGCUUACCAAGGCAACGAUGCAUAGCCGACCUGAGAGGGUGAUCGGCCACACUGGAACUGAGACACGGUCCAGACUCCUACGGGAGGCAGCAGUAGGGAAUCUUCCGCAAUGGGCGAAAGCCUGACGGAGCAACGCCGCGUGAGCGAUGAAGGUCUUCGGAUCGUAAAACUCUGUUAUUAGGGAAGAACAUAUGUGUAAGUAACUGUGCACAUCUUGACGGUACCUAAUCAGAAAGCCACGGCUAACUACGUGCCAGCAGCCGCGGUAAUACGUAGGUGGCAAGCGUUAUCCGGAAUUAUUGGGCGUAAAGCGCGCGUAGGCGGUUUUUUAAGUCUGAUGUGAAAGCCCACGGCUCAACCGUGGAGGGUCAUUGGAAACUGGAAAACUUGAGUGCAGAAGAGGAAAGUGGAAUUCCAUGUGUAGCGGUGAAAUGCGCAGAGAUAUGGAGGAACACAAGUGGCGAAGGCGACUUUCUGGUCUGUAACUGACGCUGAUGUGCGAAAGCGUGGGGAUCAAACAGGAUUAGAUACCCUGGUAGUCCACGCCGUAAACGAUGAGUGCUAAGUGUUAGGGGGUUUCCGCCCCUUAGUGCUGCAGCUAACGCAUUAAGCACUCCGCCUGGGGAGUACGACCGCAAGGUUGAAACUCAAAGGAAUUGACGGGGACCCGCACAAGCGGUGGAGCAUGUGGUUUAAUUCGAAGCAACGCGAAGAACCUUACCAAAUCUUGACAUCCUUUGACAACUCUAGAGAUAGAGCCUUCCCCUUCGGGGGACAAAGUGACAGGUGGUGCAUGGUUGUCGUCAGCUCGUGUCGUGAGAUGUUGGGUUAAGUCCCGCAACGAGCGCAACCCUUAAGCUUAGUUGCCAUCAUUAAGUUGGGCACUCUAAGUUGACUGCCGGUGACAAACCGGAGGAAGGUGGGGAUGACGUCAAAUCAUCAUGCCCCUUAUGAUUUGGGCUACACACGUGCUACAAUGGACAAUACAAAGGGCAGCGAAACCGCGAGGUCAAGCAAAUCCCAUAAAGUUGUUCUCAGUUCGGAUUGUAGUCUGCAACUCGACUACAUGAAGCUGGAAUCGCUAGUAAUCGUAGAUCAGCAUGCUACGGUGAAUACGUUCCCGGGUCU
rnacentral:rRNA from 1 species